rnacentral:rRNA from 1 species
GAUGAACGCUAGCGGCAGGCCUAAUACAUGCAAGUCGAACGGUAAGGCCCUUUCGGGGGUACACGAGUGGCGGACGGGUGCGUAACGCGUAUGCAACAUGCCUUCCAGCGGGGGAUAUACCAGGGAAACUUGGCGCAAUACCCCAUAGAAUUACGGGACCGCAUGGUCUUGUGAUUAAAACUCCGGUGCUGGGAGAUUGGCAUGCGUGACAUUAGCUAGUUGGCGGGGUAACGGCCCACCAAGGCGACGAUGUCUAGCUGGUCUGAGAGGAUGAUCAGCCACACUGGGACUGAGACACGGCCCAGACUCCUACGGGAGGCAGCAGUAGGGAAUAUUGGACAAUGGGGGGAACCCUGAUCCAGCCAUGCCGCGUGAGGGAAGAAGGCCUCGG